UUCUCUAUGACUUGUAUUAUUUUUGUUUGAAGUUAAAGCUAAAUAUUUAGGAUUUUUAUGUCCUCGUGGUUUCAUUUCUUGCACUUAUUGUGUUUGAUCUCUCUACAUAUUCAUUCAUUUCUUGAUCGUCUAAAAAUUCUUGUAUUUAUGCUAAUUUCUUUGUCGUCCAUGUGCAUUUUACCUAUAGAAACAUACAUGCAACUCAUUGUCUUGGUAUUCAUUUUCUAUAGUCGAAAAAUUUCAUGUCAUCUCAUGAUUUCUAUGUCCAAAGUGUCUACAAGUGCAUCUUUUCGUCUUCUAUUUUAUACUUAAGUUCAAGAUUUACCCUUUAAACCUGUUGUUUUUCUGUGAGGCUGAGAAUUAGUUUUUGAAGGUAGUUGAGACAGAAAGAUUAAUUGGUAAGUACGACAAAAGUGAAGAAUCUUUAAUACUUUAUCCAAAGGUAAGUAAAUUUUAAAUUCAAUUAGAAAUCUGAAUAUUUUUUGGGAGAAUUUACCAAAAUGUCACUUUUUUUGAAAAUGCACAAAAAACUUUGAUGUGCACACAAUUUGUACAAAAAUGUCAC
rnacentral:lncRNA from 1 species